AGUUAUUUUGCCAUCCUCUAUCUCUCUCGUCUAUUUCUCUUCCUGGGCAAGCAGCGUAUAACAACAGGCGACCUCUGCUUCUUUUUGGCGAGGCUUCUUCCCGGCGGCAAGUGAGCAGCGACGAUGGACUUGGAUUCCUCCUUCUCCGGCCUCGCGAUGAAGUCCAGCAACAGCAGAUCGACUCUUAUUUAUUUGGGGAUGCUGAGCAAUGGUGAGCUCUUCCCCGGCGUCCUCCUCUUCGACCAGCUAGCAGCGAGCAGACCAGACAGUGUCUCUCUCGGUCGUUUGACGUGGGUAGUGCGGCGGCGACGGGACAAGCCUGGCGAGGUCCUUUCCCUCUUCCCUGUUUUCCGACGAACAUAGUAGACCCGUCGUCCUUCUUCCCCUUCCGGUGUUGACAGAUUUCGGUGGGCUGUGGCGUGGACUGGCUGUGUGUUGGGAGAGUUAACAGUGGCGUAGGUGUUCCUUUUCCAACAAAGGAGGAGCCAUGGUAACCGGUGACGGGAUCUCUGUUGUAGCAACGGUGGCAGUGAUUCAGACAAUUGGGUUCCUUUUGAAAUGUCUAGCUCAAGAGAAAAGCUUAGGAUUGGAUGCUAGUACUUUUGGAGCUUAGUUUGAGGAUAUGAAAUUAGUGGCUUGCUUUGAGAGCGCGGUGUAAUCUUCGUAUACCUUGUAAUAGAAUUUGUACCCCAAGAAUUGCUUAUGGUAUAGUUGAAUGGAUUAUUCAACCUUGUAUUUGGAUUGUAGAUAGAAACUUUGUAGCCUGUGCAUUUGGGUUUAGAAUAACCCAAGUGUGG